rnacentral:rRNA from 1 species
GCUACGGGUGGCAGCAGUGGGGAAUAUUGGGCAAUGGGCGCAAGCCUGACCCAGCAAAGCCGCGUGAAGGAAGAAGGCUUUCGGGUUGUAAACUUCUUUUCUCAGGGACGAAGCAAGUGACAGUACCUGAGGAAUACGCCACGGCUAACUACGUGACAGCAGCAGCGGUAAUACGUAGGUGGCAAGCGUUAUCCGGAUUUACUGGGUGUAAAGGGCGGGUAGGCGGGACUCGAAGUCAGAUGUGAAAACCACGGGCUCAACCUGUGGCCAGCAUUUGAAACUGUCGUUCUUGAGUAAUGGUGAGGCAGACGGAAUUCCGAGUGUAGCGGUGAAAUGCGUAGAUAUUAGGAGGAACACCAGUGGCGAAGGCGGUCUGCUGGACAGCAACUGACGCUGAGGCGCGAAAGCGUGGGGAGCAAACAGGAUUAGAUACCCGAGUAGUC